UCCUCACCUCUGGCCCCACCUGGUUGAAUUUCCCUGACCAGAACCAGGAUAGGAUGUGUUGGUGAAACACCUCUCCAUGGUUGCAGGGGUAGGUGAGCUUCCCCCCACCCCGCCAAAAGCCUCGGGAAGCUGAAGGAAGAAUUUAUUUGGUCAACACACAUUUAACCAGCAUCCAAGGUCUGUGCACUGCACUGGACUGGAGAACAUGUGUCUGAGGCCUGACAUGCUGCUCUGACCUCCAUGCCUGGGGCAGUUCUUGGCGCACAGGAAGAACUUAAACAUUCUUUGAGUGAGAGAGUGAGGUCACAUGGGAAGACUGGCAAGAUAAACCUAAAAUUCUACUUGGAGAACAGAAGUCUUGAAGGUAUGUUGCACAUGGAGCCUGCCACUGCGGAGUGGAGGUGGAGGAGCCCAGCCCGAGGACACUGCCUGUAAAGCAAGUCCUGCUUGUAAAACAGCAUCGUGAUCACCGCAGCCCAAGUCCCCAUGGUUCACAGGCCCGGGAACCUACCUCCACAAGGAGUUAGGACCAGGAUCGGCAGACUUUUCCUAUAAAGGGCCAGAUGGCAAAUGUUCUAGGCUUUGUGGGCCAUCUGGUCUCUGUUACACCCAAACUCAGCCAUUUGUAAGUGCAAGAGCAGUCACGGCUAACACAUAAACCAAAGAGGGUGGCUAUGUGGAUGCUAUUCAUGGACACUGAAAUUAGGAUUUUAGGCCAUUUUUGCAUAAAAAUAUUCUUAUGAUUUCUCAAUCAUUGAAAAACAUAAAAAAGCAUUCUUAGCUCAUGGGGCAUAAGAAAUAGGCAGUGAGCCAAAUGCACACCAUCGGUUGCUGACCCCUGGCUAGGGCACUACCUCUCCACCUGUAAUGAAUCACCUGGGUUGGAGGCUAUUUCUUGUAAAAAUGCAGAUUCUGACCCAGGAGGUUGGAAACAGGACCUGAAACUGUGCAUUAAGAAGCUCCCAGGGGAUGCUCAUAUAUGAGGAGCUCAGCACCAUAUUUGAAUAGUCAGAGGUUAGGAAACCACUUUCAGAAGCGCAAGGUAUUUUUUUCUUAAAGCACAAGGUAUUGAGCAAGUUUCCCUGGAAAUGUGAAGCCUCCAGAGCCUGUCUGCCUACCCAGUGGUGCCUAAAAGGGCAGAAGGUUGCUGGUGGGUGUUUGCAUGCUCAGACCCCAAGUCAUGCUAACCUGGCAACAUGGGCCACCACGUCCCCUAGGUCCGAAGCAGGAAACUUGUAGGGAACGAUUUAUGUGCUUUUUCACCAGUGUUUACACAUUCAUGGCCAUUUAUAAACAUUGGUUCUUAGAGACUGAAAUAGUUUCUUCAAGUCAGGUCUGCAAGGAGCCAGACCUCUAGAAUUUAGUAGGGUACAAUUUACUUGGGGGAGGUCAGGG